rnacentral:rRNA from 1 species
GACGAACGCUGGCGGCGUGCUUAACACAUGCAAGUCGAACGGAAAGGCCCUGCUUUUGUGGGGUGCUCGAGUGGCGAACGGGUGAGUAACACGUGAGUAACCUGCCCUUGACUUUGGGAUAACUUCAGGAAACUGGGGCUAAUACCGGAUAGGAGCUCCUGCUGCAUGGUGGGGGUUGGAAAGUUUCGGCGGUUGGGGAUGGACUCGCGGCUUAUCAGCUUGUUGGUGGGGUAGUGGCUUACCAAGGCUUUGACGGGUAGCCGGCCUGAGAGGGUGACCGGACACAUUGGGACUGAGAUACGGCCCAGACUCCUACGGGAGGCAGCAGUGGGGAAUAAUGCACAAUGGGCGGAAGCCUGAUGCAGCAACGCCGCGUGCGGGAUAACGGCCUUCGGGUUGUAAACCGCUUUCGCCUGUGACGAAGCGUGAGUGACGGUAAUGGGUAAAGAAGCACCGGCUAACUACGUG